rnacentral:rRNA from 1 species
GAUGAACGCUGGCGGCGUGCCUAAUACAUGCAAGUAGAACGCUGAAGGAGGAGCUUGCUCUUCUGGAUGAGUUGCGAACGGGUGAGUAACGCGUAGGUAACCUGCCUGGUAGCGGGGGAUAACUAUUGGAAACGAUAGCUAAUACCGCAUGACAACAGUUAUUGCAUGAUAAUUGUUUAAAAGGGGCAACUGCUCCACUACCAGAUGGACCUGCGUUGUAUUAGCUAGUUGGUGAGGUAACGGCUCACCAAGGCGACGAUACAUAGCCGGCCUGGGAGGGUGAUCGGCCACACUGGGACUGGGACACGGGCCAGACUCCUACGGGAGGCAGCAGUAGGGAAUCUUCGGCAAUGGACGGAAGUCUGACCGAGCAACGCCGCGUGAGUGAAGAAAGGUUUCGGAUCGUAAAGCUCUGUUGUAAGAGAAGAACGAGUGUGAGAGUGGAAAGUUCACGCUGUGACGGUAUCUUACCAGAAAGGGACGGCUAACUACGUG